CACAGGAUAGAGUAGCAUGGAGAGCUGCAUCAAACCAGCCUCAGGACUGAAGACUACAAAACAACUACAACGAGAAUUUAAGGCGAAAAUGCUGUUCACUGACAAGACUGGACACCGAGUAAGCACUCUGUUAUGUGUGAACUGCAUUUCAACAAGGAGGGUAUUUUAAGCAGUACCAGCAUGUAUGACCCGAAAACUGGUACACUCCUGACAGCACCGUUGGGUCGUCGACACUUGAGAAAAGAACUGACUGUUCCACCAAUGAACCAGCUACUAUUGACACUCAGAUAUUGGCCUCUGGUGAUUUCCUUCUGCCUAUUGGAGACUUCAUUAGUAUUAAGAGUAUGCACAUGACACUGGACAAAAUGCAUAUGAC